rnacentral:snoRNA from 1 species
AGCCUUUGUGUUGCCCGUUCACUUUGGAAACUAGUGAACGUGGUGUCAAGAAAGGCAUAAAGCAAUGCUCUGCAGCUUUUUCCUGCCCUUAUAUGUGGUGUAUUUGGUGUAGGAGCUGCAGAAGUGACAGCU